rnacentral:rRNA from 1 species
AAUGAACGCUGGCGGCGUGCCUAAUACAUGCAAGUCGAGCGAACGGACGGAAAGCUUGCUUCUCUGAAGCUGGCGGCGGAAGGGUGAUUAACACGAGGCUAACCGACAUAUAAGAAUAGCAUAACUUCGGGAAACCUAAGCUAAAACAUGAUGAGAUUGUGAACGGCAUGGUUCUAAAGUGAUAGCCCGUCCUGAUGACACUUAGAGAUGGAUCCGAGCUGCAUUAGCUAGUUGGUAACGUAACGGCUUACCAAGGCAACGAUGCGUAGCCGAUCUGAGAGGGUGAUCAGUCACACUGGAACGGAGACACGGUCCAGACUCCUACGGGAGGCAGCAGUCGGGAAUUUGGAGCAAUGGGCGAAAGCCUGACGCAGCCAUGCCGCGUGCGUGAUGAAGGUCUUCGGAUCGUAAAACACUGUUAGUUGGGAAGAACAUAUGUGUACGUAAAUGUGCCCAUCUUGACGGUACCCUAUCAGAAAGCCAGGGCUAACUUCGUG